rnacentral:rRNA from 1 species
AGAGUUUGAUUCUGGCUCAGAACGAACGCUGCGGCAGGCUUAACACAUGCAAGUUGAGCGGGAUUGUUGAGUAGCUUGCUAUUAACAUGAGAGCAGCGCACUGGUGAGUAACACGUGGGAACAUACCUUUUGGUGGGGGACAACAGUUGGAAACGACUGCUAAUACCGCAUAAGCCCUAAGGGGGAAAGAUUUAUUGCCGAAAGAUUGGCCCGCGGAAGAUUAGGUAGUAGGUGGGGUAACGGCCUACCUAGCCGACGAUCUAUAGCUGGUCUGAGAGGACGAUCAGCCACAUUGGAACUGAGACACGGUCCAGACUCCUACGGGAGGCAGCAGUGAGGAAUAUUGGGCAAUGGAGGGAACUCUGACCCAGCCAAUGCCGCGUGAGUGAAGAAGGUUUUCGGAUUGUAAAACUCUUUCAGAUGGGAAGAUGAUGACGGUACCAUCAGAAGAAGCACCGGCUAACUUCGUGCCAGCCGCAGC